CGCAUCCUGGGGCUGGAGCAGGUCCCAAGGGUUGGGCUGUUCGCCCAUUAAAGCGGCACGCGAGCUGGGUUUAGAACGUCGUGAGACAGUUCGGUCUCUAUCCGCCGCGCGCGUCAGAAGCUUGAGGAAACCUGUCCCUAGUACGAGAGGACCGGGACGGACGAACCUCUGGUCUACCAGUUGUCCCACCAGGGGCACUGCUGGAUAGCUA
rnacentral:rRNA from 1 species